rnacentral:rRNA from 1 species
UACGCAGGGUGCAAGCGUUAAUCGGAAUUACUGGGCGUAAAGGGUGCGUAGGCGGUUCGUUAAGUCUGUCGUGAAAUCCCCGGGCUCAACCUGGGAAUGGCGAUGGAUACUGGCGAGCUAGAGUGUGUCAGAGGAUGGUGGAAUUCCCGGUGUAGCGGUGAAAUGCGUAGAGAUCGGGAGGAACAUCAGUGGCGAAGGCGGCCAUCUGGGACAACACUGACGCUGAGGCACGAAAGCGUGGGGAGCAAACAGG